rnacentral:rRNA from 1 species
GACGAACGCUGGCGGCGUGCCUAAUACAUGCAAGUUGAGCGCUGAAGGUUGGUACUUGUACCGACUGGAUGAGCAGCGAACGGGUGAGUAACGCGUGGGGAAUCUGCCUUUGAGCGGGGGACAACAUUUGGAAACGAAUGCUAAUACCGCAUAAAAACUUUAAACACAAGUUUUAAGUUUGAAAGAUGCAAUUGCAUCACUCAAAGAUGAUCCCGCGUUGUAUUAGCUAGUUGGUGAGGUAAAGGCUCACCAAGGCGAUGAUACAUAGCCUGCCUGAGAGGGUGAUCGGCCAGAUUGGGACUGAGACACGGCGCAAACUCCUAAGGGAGGCAGCAGUAGGGAAUCUUCGGCAAUGGGCGAAAGUCUGACCGAGCAACGACGCGUGAGUGAAGAAGGUUUUCGGAUCGUAAAACUCUGUUGGUAGAGAAGAACGUUGGUGAGAGUGGAAAGCUCAUCAAGUGACGGUAACUACCCAGAAAGGGACGGCUAACUACGUG